UCUUUCUCUCUCUCUCUCUCUCUCUCUCUUUCUCUCAAAACAUGUACUGCGCCCUAGUACUGAGCCUUGAGGUACUCCAUACUGCAUUUGUGAUCGAUAUGAUACCUCUUCAUUCACUGCUACGAACUGAUGGCGGUCAGAUAAAUUCAAGUUUGUCUUCAGCUGCUGUAGCAGGAAUAUGUACUGCUGCUGCUGUUAUUGUCCUGCUGCUGGUGGCUAUAUCUUUGAUUUCUUACAAGCAUCUAUUAAGGAGGAAAGGCAAAUGGUAUUUUUGCUUUUGAUUUGUCGCCUAAUCAGAGUGGGAUUCCACUGAUGGAUGAUGCCAGUGAGACGCCUUCUAAUCACACUGAUGCUCAAGUGAAGAACACUAUCAAUGGCUCGUCCUCUAAUCACAUUGAGAUUGAGCCUGAGGCUGUCAGUGAGAUUUAACAUUACUAAUUAUUUUGAUACUUUCAUUGAAAUGGAAAGUGAAGAGAGGAUGGGGAACAGAGAGAUUUUCUCAUUUCCAGUUUUACGUCAACACUAGUUUCAACACCACAACAAGAACUAAUUUGAUUUUUGAUAUUACUAAUUAAAAAAAAUUAAUUACAGCAUGUGGUCUAAAUAUUAAGUAAUAUAAACUUAAUUCAGAAUUCAAAAAAGAAAAUUUAAACAGCGGGUUUUUGACCUGUUUCUGUAUGUAGAAGUUUGUUGCUAAAGUAUGGAUACUAUUAAACUCAUUCAAACUCAUCUAAUAUUUCUUUAUCUAUCUAUCUGUCUAUCUAUCUAUCUAUCUAUCUAUCAGCCUCUUUCUUUCUAUGUAUCUAUCUAUCUAUAAUCUGACUAUUGUUACCUAUCUGUCUAUCUAUCUAUCUAGGAACACUAAAGCAACUAUCCAAACCAACCUAGCAACCACCCUGAGUACCCUAGCAACCACAUAGCAACACCUUAGCAACAACCCUGAGUACCUUAGCAACCGCAUAGCAACACCCUGGCAACCACCCCGGGUACCAUAGCAACCGCAUAGCAACACCUUAGCAACCCACCCAGAUACCCUAGCAACACCUUAGCAACCAUCCCGGUUACCCUAGAAACUGCAUAGCAACACCCUAGCAGCCACCCAGGGUACAUAAACACACCUGAAGCCCAUUAGACUCAAUCAGACUUCCCUUCUAUGUACUAUUUCUAAUCAAUUUAAACUCAUUCAAACUCAUCUAUCUAAUAUUUCUUAUCUAUCUAUCUAUCUAUCUAUCUAUCUAUCUAUCUAUCUAUCUAUCUAUCUAUUUAAUAUUCAUAUCUAUCUGUCUAUCUAUCUAUUUAAACUUCAGACUUCUACAAAUGAACACCUUCAAACUGCAAGUUUUUAAAACUACUUCUAAUAAGUCCGACUUUCUCAAGCCAACUUCAAAGUUUGUUCACAAACUUUUUUAUCUAGUUAAAUCUUCAGAUGCCUGAGGUUGGUAGGUGAGCGACGCCUCAUGGUACCAUCACAGAGAGGCACAAAAUCACUUUCCAGAAGCUGCUCAUUCUCUAUUCCUUGGUGGUGGAAUAAUCUUCCCAACCCUAUCCGGAACAUCCCCCCUCCACCCUCCACCCUCACCACACACAUGCUGUGGAAGUCAAUGGGGGCCAGCAACUGUUUGAUUACCCACAUUGUUCAGUGUGAGUAAAUAAUGACAAAUAAUGAGUUUUGGGUGAACUAUCUUUUUAACUGCAUCCUGCUGAAAUAAAAAAAAAAACCUUCAAUGAUUUCACUUUUCCUCAUGCUUGUUGUAUUCCUCCUUUUGGCAGUUACUUUGGAUAAAACAGUCCCCAGUCUGGAUUUGUCCUUACGAUAUUUUCACUUUAAAUUCAGGUUGUCAUUUGUGUGG